GAUGGCAAGAGGGAACAUUAGAAGAGAAUAAUCGAAAAAUUGCAGAAGCACAAGCUAAACUGGCUGAAGAACAAUUGAAAAUUGUUGAAGAACAAAGAAAGAUUCAUGAGGAGAGGAUGAAACUAGAACAAGAGAGACAACGUCAGCAAAAAGAAGAGCAAAAAAUGAUCCUGGGCAAGGGAAAGUCUAGGCCAAAACUGUCUUUCUCUCUAAAGAGCCAGGAUUAAAUUGGAACUGUGAACUCUUAAAAAAAGAAAAACGAAACAGAAAAACUUUGUAUGGUAGCUUCAUGUUGAAGUGGUUUCUUUCUCUUUUUUUAUUUUAAUUUUUUUUAUUUUAAUUUUUUUUUUGGUCUUUUUUUUUUAAGUCUGGAAAGUUAGCUUGUUCUAAUAGGGGCUGUGCUCUGCAAUUCUUAAUAUUUUUUUUAAACUUCCAUUAAGUUAAAUCCUUAUCAGAUCACGGUUGCCUUUUAGAGAGUAAUCUGUUCUCAUUCAUUUUGUUUCAGUAAUAGUGGUUUGAAGCAGAUUGGGUCACUUUAUAAAUUGUGUAUGAUCUGAUAAGGUUUUUACUGACCUACUGAUCUCAGAGUUAUACUCUGACAUUAGACCGAAUUUCGUGCUGGUUUUGCUGACUUUUAAUAACAAAAAAGUUAGUACACGCAUCAGUAAAUUCCCAAAGUAUUACUGGACCUCUUUGGUUUAUUGUUAAAUCAGUGUCCUAUGAUACUGUCCCACUGUUGCGCUUGAUGUUCCUGAUACAGGUAAGGAAACAGUUGGUCAAUUCUGCUCUGAGUAUAUAUAUGGAGAAAUUGAGAGUUCAGUAUUGUCUCUUCGAUUGUUUUUAUUUACAUUGACAAAAUUCAACCAGCAUUCACCAUUGUGUAAAUAAACCAAUUUGCUGAAUAAAGUAAAGUCUUAAAUUCAUAUGUUUAAGUAGUUUUUUUAGCACAUUUGUAUAACUACAGUAAGGGGGGCAGUUCACUUUCAUAAAUUCAAAAAUACAAUGGUAUUUUUUUAAGUUCACUUCAAAAAAUGUUGCUUUUAUUACAUCGAAUGCAAGGAUUACACAAUUAAUAAAACCCACAGUUUUGUAUAUUAAGGGCUGUUGCUAUUUUCAUUAAAUAUUGAUUUUAUUCGAGAGAGACUUACUUUGGCUUGUUUAGCUUACUGAACCCAGAGAAGUACAUUAGUAUUUAAUGCCCUUGAGUUUGCCUCAUUAUAUAAUACGGUUUAUAAUUUAGGGUCAUCACCAUAUAUAAUGGAUCUGAUAGAUUUAGGAGGGGAAAAAUAAGGUGUCUCUCUCUCUCUUUUUUUUUUUUUUUUUUUUUUUUUUUUUUUUUUUUUUUUUUUUUUUUUUUUUUUUUUUUUUUUUUUUAACUGAAGGGCAAGCACACUGGCAAAGUAAUGGAAAGCAGAAGUUAAGUUCUGUUUAAAUAUAUUGUUUUAGGCACAAAGCAGCUGUUCAUGUGCAACAUCCUGAAUGUUACCCAUUUAUAUACAUAUACAGGUUUUAUUCUGACCAGUGAAUACACAGAUUGAAAAUAUAUAUAUGAGCCCUUUUUAUAUGUAAUUCCGCUGAAAUUUCAGUUACUUUAGUGUCCAGUUCUAAAAUUCUUAUUCAUUAUUCGUAUUGAUAUUACAACAUCUAUAGUGAAUAUUUUAAAAUGAAAGAUUGUAAUUGUUGAAUGAGCAUUAUAAAGUUUUCCAGACUAGGAAAGAAUUCCUGUUACUUCACCAGAUCUGUUUCUGUGGAUUUGAUAAAUAAAAUGCUGCAGGUUGAAUGUGUCACUAGCAGAAUGCAGCGGUCUUUGUCUAGAACUUAGUCAGGUGCACAGUGACACUUUCUUCAUUGCACUGAGUGUCACAAUAAGCAUGAAGAUAUUUUAUAUCUACAACAGUACUUGUACUUAAAUUUGUCUUGAUAAAAUGUUACAGAAAUAGUGUUGCUUAAUGAAUAAACACGCAAACUGAAACCAAAAAAUGUACAUGACCUGUAGCAACCAUCAGGUUUUAUUUAAAAACUCAACUGAUACCUGUAUUUCUAAAAGAUAAAACUUCCCUUUGUUCCCUAUAUAAAGAAACAAGCUAUUAAAAAAUCAAUACUUAAA